UACGUAGGGUGCGAGCGUUAAUCGGAAUUACUGGGCGUAAAGAGUGCGUAGGCGGUUUCUCAAGUCCGCUGUGAAAUCCCCGGGCUCAACCUGGGAAUGGCAGUGGAAACUAGGAGACUUGAAUCUGGCAGAGGGGGGUGGAAUUCCACGUGUAGUGGUGAAAUACGUAGAUAUCUGGAGGAACACCGGUGGCGAAGGCGGCUACCUGGCCCAACAUUGACGCUGAGACCCGAAAGCAUGGGGAUCAAACAGG
rnacentral:rRNA from 1 species